rnacentral:rRNA from 1 species
GACGAACGCUGGCGGCGUGCUUAACACAUGCAAGUCGAACGGAAAGGCCCUGCUUUUGUGGGGUGCUCGAGUGGCGAACGGGUGAGUAACACGUGAGUAACCUGCCCUUGACUUUGGGAUAACUUCAGGAAACUGGGGCUAAUACCGGAUAGGAGCUCCUGCUGCAUGGUGGGGGUUGGAAAGUUUCGGCGGUUGGGGAUGGACUCGCGACUUAUCAGCUUGUUGGUGGGGUAGUGGCUUACCAAGGCUUUGACGGGUAGCCGGCCUGAGAGGGUGACCGGCCACAUUGGGACUGAGAUACGGCCCAGACUCCUACGGGAGGCAGCAGUGGGGAUUAUUGCGCAAUGGGCGGAAGCCUGAUGCAGCAACGCCGCGUGCGGGAUGACGGCCUUCGGGGUGUAAACCGCUUUCGCCUGUGACGAAGCGUGAGUGACGGUAAUGGGUAAAGAAGCACCGGCUAACUACGUG